rnacentral:rRNA from 1 species
AAAUUGAAGAGUUUGAUCAUGGCUCAGAUUGAACGCUGGCGGCAGGCCUAACACAUGCAAGUCGAACGGUAACAGGAAGCAGCUUGCUGCUUCGCUGACGAGUGGCGGACGGGUGAGUAAUGUCUGGGAAACUGCCUGAUGGAGGGGGAUAACUACUGGAAACGGUAGCUAAUACCGCAUAACGUCGAAAGACCAAAGAGGGGGACCUUCGGGCCUCUU